AAAAUCAUCAAAAUCCUAUGAGAUAGCUGCACGAGAAACAGGUGGUUUUCUAACCGUUUCCAAAUGAUUUGUCAUCCGAUUAUAGGAAGACGCAGUAUCGACCGAAUGAAAACCCAAAACAUAAGUGAUGUUCGUGUUGGUCGCACCCCGUUACGGUUAUCAUUUAGUUUUAUAAUGCUUUUCUGACAGUAGAGGUCCGAUAAUUUUAUUCACCGUUGAAUUGUCGCCAUUUGCAAUCGAUUCGGUGGUAACUUAAGUUGGAGAACAUUUUGUUCUGAGGAAAUAGACGCACAGGUUGCACAUUACUUGAUUGGAUAUUCGGAGAAUUUUUCGUCCCUGAAACAUCCGGUUUGACCAGCUGAACGGUCGCUUUGCCGCGAUGAGAAGUAACCACCACCGACACAGAAAUUACCGUGCUGGAACACGAUAUCCCAUAUUUCAAUUCAGAUGCAACUCAACGAUGCCAGGUUAGAUCAACGAAUUUCUACUGAAAAGCCAAUGCAAACACAAAAAUCAUAGAAUAAAAACGAGAGCGAUGUUAAGAAAAUGUAAAUAAAACGUGCAUCAAAAAUUGUAUUUCUUUUUUUAUUUUCUUCA